GCUGACAUCCCGGUUGUUCUUCUGUGCCGGGGGUCUUCCUGCUGUCAUGAAGGACGUACCGGGCUUCCUACAGCAGAGCCAGAGCUCCGGGCCCGGGCAGCCCGCUGUGUGGCACCGUCUGGAGGAGCUCUACACGAAGAACUUUAUGAAAACUUUAUCAGUGAAUUUGAACACAGGGUGAAUCCUUUGUCCCUCGUGGAAAUCAUUCUUCAUGUAGUUAGACAGAUGACUGAUCCUAAUGUGGCUCUUACUUUUCUGGAAAAGACUCGUGAGAAGGUGAAAAGUAGUGAUGAGGCAGUGAUCCUGUGUAAAACAGCCAUUGGAGCUCUAAAAUUAAACAUCGGGGACCUACAGGUUACAAAGGAAACAAUUGAAGAUGUUGAAGAAAUGCUCAACAACCUUCCUGGUGUGACAUCGGUUCACAGUCGUUUCUAUGAUCUCUCCAGUAAAUACUAUCAAACAAUCGGAAACCACGCGUCCUACUACAAAGAUGCUCUGCGGUUUUUGGGCUGUGUUGACAUCAAGGAUCUACCAGGUAACCUAGGCCAUUAAAUCCAUGUCACACAGGAGCAUAUUCUCCAAACUUAGCAUCUGUGAGUUGCUUGAGGUGACAGUUCUCAGAAAUUACUAAGGUGGGGCUGGGCACGGUGGCUCACGCCUGUAAUCCCAGCACUUUGGAAGGCUGAAGUGAGUGGAUCACCUGAGGUCAGGAGUUCGAGACCAGCCUGGCCAACAUGGUGAAACCCUGUCUCUACUAAAAAUACAAAAAACUAGCCAGGUGUGAUGGUGGGUGCCUGUAAUCCCAGUUACUCGGGAGUCUGAGGCAGGAGAAUCACUUGAACUCGGGAGGUGGAGGUUGCAGUGAGCCAAGAUUGUACCACUGCACCCCAGCCUGGGUGACAGAGCGAGACUCCAUCUCAUCCAAACAAAAAAGAAAUUACUCAGAUGGAUUCAUCCUGUUUUGAAGAAAAAAAUGGGAAGAUUUGUGUAAACUUUAGUUUCUACAUUAUAUUUGUCUCCAGCAUUUAAUUUACAUGAAAAUGAGGCUAAUUCCUCCUAGCUCCUUUACUGUUCCUUCUCCAGUUCCUUACUGUUACCUAAGUCACAGGUAUUUGUAGGAAGUACCAUGAUGUAAACACCUUCUGAGCCCUCCCCGCCCACCCUUCUGCUGCAGAGUAAAGGGCACAUGAAAUCCCUGUAGCUGAGACCCUUGUUUUGAAAACUGAAAUUCCAGACCCAUGGGGACAAAUUAUUAAAUCUUUCAAGGAUUUGAAAGUGGAAAGA
rnacentral:sRNA from 1 species